rnacentral:rRNA from 1 species
UACGGGGGGGCAAGCGUUGUUCGGAAUUACUGGGCGUAAAGCGCACGUAGGCGGACUCGUAGGUCAAUUGUGAAAUCCCCGGGCUCAACCUGGGAACUGCAUUUGUAGACUGCAUCGCUGGAGUGCGGCAGAGGGGGAUGGAAUUCCGGCGUGUAGCAGUGAAAUGCGUAGAUAUGUGGAGGAACACCGAUGGCGAAGGCAGCCCCCUGGGAUAACACUGACGCUCGAUGCACGAAAGCGUGGGGAGCAAACAGG